GGCGAGUGAAGCGGGAAGAGCUCAAAUUUGAAAUCUGGCAGUCUUCGAUUGUCCGAGUUGUAAUCUAUAGAGGCGUUUUCCGUGCCGGACCGUGUCCAAGUCUCCUGGAAAGGAGUAUCAAAGAGGGUGAUAAUCCCGUACUUAACACGACCACCGGUGCUCUGUGAUACGUCUUCUACGAGUCGAGUUGUUUGGGAAUGCAGCUCAAAAUGGGUGGUGAAUUCCAUCUAAAGCUAAAUAUUGGCGAGAGACCGAUAGCGAACAAGUACCGUGAGGGAAAGAUGAAAAGCACUUUGGAAAGAGAGUUAAACAGUACGUGAAAUUGUUGAAAGGGAAACGAUUGAAGUCAGUCGUGUUCUUUGGAUUCAGCCAGUUCUGCUGGUCUACUUCCUUGGAACGGGUCAACAUCAGUUUUGUCCGGUGGAUAAAGGUAGUAGGAAUGUGACUUCUCCGGAAGUGUUAUAGCCUAUUAUCACAUACACUGGGUGAGACUGAGGACUGCAGCUCGCCUUUAUGGCCGGCCUUCGGGCACGUUCGAGCUUAGGAUGUUGACAUAAUGGCUUUAAACGACCCGUCUUG
rnacentral:rRNA from 1 species